rnacentral:rRNA from 1 species
GAUGAACGCUGGCGGCGUGCUUUAGGUAUGCAAGUCGAGCGGUCGAGCUUAGCUCGAUAGCGGCAGACGGGUGAGUAACGCGUAGGAACGUACCCUUUGGUGGGGAAUAGCCCUGAGAAAUCGGGGGUAAUACCGCAAACCCCGACGUUACGUCGGGGAAAGCGAAUAACUUCGCGCCGAAGGAGCGGCCUGCGUCCUAUCAGCUUGUUGGUGGGGUAAAAGCCUACCAAGGCGACGACGGGUAGCUGGUCUGAGAGGACGGUCAGCCACAGGGCCACUGCGAUACGGGGCCCACGACUACGGUCGGCAGCAACCGGGAAUAUUGCGCAAUGGGCGAAAGCCUGACGCAGCGACGCCGCGUGGAGGAUGAAGGCCCUCGGGUUGUAAACUCCUGUGGUAAGAGAAAAUAAUGAUGGUACCUUACUAGAAAGCACCAGCAAACUACGUGCCAGCAGCGGCGGUAAUUCGUAGGGUGCGAGCGUUAUCCGGAUUUAUUGGGCGUAAAGAGUUCGUAGGCGGUCCUUUAAGUUAUUUGUUAAAGACUUCUGCUUAACGGGAGAAAGGCAAGUAAUACUGAAGGACUAGAAGCGGUUCGGGGGUGCUGGAACUGGCGGUGGAGGGGUGAAAUCCAUUGAGAUCGUCAGGAACACCGAGAGCGAAGGCAGGCACCUAGGACCAUCUUGACGCUGAGGAACGAAAGCUAGGGGAGAGAACUGGAUUAGAGACCCAGGUAUUCCUAGCUGUAAACGAUUCCCGCUAGCUGCCCUGUGUAUCCGCCAAUGGCGGAGAUAUGGGGUGGCGUAAGCUAACGCGUUAAGCGGGACGCCUGGGGAGACGGCCGCAAGGCU